rnacentral:rRNA from 1 species
UACAGAGGGUGCAAGCGUUGUUCGGAAUUACUGGGCGUAAAGCGUGCGCAGGCGGUUCUAUAAGACAGAUGUGAAAUCCCCGGGCUCAACCUGGGAACUGCAUUUGUGACUGUAGAGCUGGAGUACGGUAGAGGGGGAUGGAAUUCCGCGUGUAGCAGUGAAAUGCGUAGAUAUGCGGAGGAACACCGAUGGCGAAGGCAAUCCCCUGGACCUGUACUGACGCUCAUGCACGAAAGCGUGGGGAGCAAACAGG